AUCUCUGAAGUUUAAAAAACAUUAGAUUGCAAAUCUAAAGAAAAUAAGAGAAA
rnacentral:tRNA from 1 species